UCACUCCUACACACCAGGCCAAAGAACGGUGGAGAAGUGACACCUUCGAACAGAGCAGCCACACGCUCCCACCACUACUUUUGAGCAGGCAGAUCCCCACCCCAGACCUGCAGCCACCAGAUGCCAUUUCAAUGUGCAUGAGAGGACACAAAAAUGGAGGAGAGAUGGGCUGGGCACCUUCAGAACUGAGCCUUUUACAUCACAGACCAUCUUCAGUGGACAAGAUGUUUGUUACUGCAGAAUCAGCAGCAACCACCACAAAGUUAGUGGAGCCCUUUGCAAAGAGGAAAGAGGAAGAAACAGGCAGAUUCAUGGAGCCUAGAGAAUUUCCUCCUCAAGUAACUGUAUGGACAAAAUUACACAGAAUUUAUUUCACACAUUCAUCCCUCUGCCAUCAAUGCCAAAUUAAAACUGAAGCUUCUCACUGGCUAAACACCACGAACCAUAUAAACCAAAAAUAUUCAGAUAGUCUAAGUACACAUCUGUUUAUUACAAAAUGUUAGUCAUGGUGAAAAACAUUAACAAAAUACUUCAUGAUUAGUUUCCUGGUUCACUGGUUCCUUUGGCUCUAUUUACAGCAUUUUAACUAGCUGGCAUUUAACUCUCAGUUAGAAAGUACAACUGAUCUUGUAUUAACUUUUCUGUACUGAUUUUACAAAAUCCUACAUUUUACACAUAUGCACCUAAAAUUCACUUUAUCAAC